UUGGGUUUGAUUCAGAGUUAAGAGAGCUGUUUUAGCUGAUAGGAUCUCACAGAGGGGAUGUCACAGCUCUGUAAUGAGCAUACCUUCCAUAACUUUUAGUGUUCUGACGCAGAUUUAUAUCAUCCUAACAAUAAGUUCCAUCAUAUGACAUUUUUAAACAGGGUUUUCAUUCACUGUCCUUACAGUCCAGAACGAAACUUGUCUGGUUAAGAGGUCACAUGAUGCUGGUUGUUAACUUUAACAGAUCUUUAACAGCUGAUGUCAGGCAUGUAAGAUUGUCAUGACAACAGACGUAACCUGUGAACAUUCAACACUAUUACAAAACAGGAUGACAGCCACAUUUCUCAUAUGUUUUUGUGUUUGUUACAGUGCAGGGUUAAAAUUUUAAAAGAGCUACAAAAAGCCAGAGGAGCAGUGAAGUAAAUCUUUGAUGACAAUUUGUCUGAACAUACAAAAAACUCAACAAACAUACUCUCUAUUUCUUUCUCCUUCUUUUCUUUACAUUUCUCCUUAUUAUUUUUGUUACAAUUGAGCCAAAGAUGAGUGAAAAAUUGGACUGAUGAAGACUGUGAAUGUAAAUCUGUGAACCUUUUUAGCCACAGAGUCUGUGAUGAAAGAUGUUUUUUUUAGUUCCCAUGUUUUAGGAGUAGAUCAGGGUCACUAAAGGUCAGAAUGCGGACUUUAACCAUCAAAUUCGGACUUUUUCUGACUAGUUCUGACUCCAAAGUCAGAAUUCUGAAAAAAAUAAAGUCAGGAUUUCAACUUCAGUCACAUUACUUUGUGAAUUUUUACUCUAAAGUCAGAAUUUUGAGGAGGAAAACUCUUAAAUCUGACUUUGAUCUCAGAGGAAAAACAAAAUAUCUGACUUUAAACAUGAUUUUUUUCUGUCGUAUUUUUCUUCUUCUGCAGUAUCAAAACCAAACUUAAUGACAGUUUGUGUCCAGCUUUAGGAUUUGCAACAUCAUAUUGUCACAUUUAACUUCUUUAUAACUUUAUAAUUAUUUGAUAAAUUUAGGACAUUAUAAUCUCAGUCGAGGUGAUUUUACUUAAAAAAAAACACAGAUUAUUGAGGAGUUGUCUCUGCAGUAACUCCAUCGUGCAGCAGAUGGUGCUGCAAGGCCGUGAACUUGCUGCCUGUGUGACACUUGCAUCUGAAGAUGACUAACCAUAGAGAUUUACAAAGUCUAAAAACUAAAUCCCCCUGGAUUAAUAAUCCCGUCUAAAGGAGGUCAGAAGUCUGGGUCAGAGUUUGAAGCGGUGACAGACAUUCCUGAGCAGAUAUGUAACAGUUUCUCCCCCUUUCAGGGCCUCCCCGAGGUGCUGCAGGUCUUUCUCCCCCACAUUCCUGAUGACCCAAAGCUGCUCCGCCAUCACAACAAACCCUGCUGUAAAGACUUCACUUAGAGGUGAUGACACACUCCACAACCCAGACACAUGCAGACCGUUGUGUAACUAACAAAAACAAAGCCAAACUCUGAGGGUCUGCUCUGCUCUGUUUCCAUGCAGGUGUGAGGACGCCCAGAGGAAGAAUAAAACCCCGAUGGGAGCAGAUCAGACGGAGCACCACAGAGAGCCGGAUAAUAAACUAAAAGGAGUUCUGGGUCCUCUCAGAAACCACAAGAUCCCCCAGCUACACAGACCCCUGCCGGCUCAGACAACGCAAACACAACAGUAACUUGAGAGAUGAAGCACACACACACGCCUACGCACAGAAACACGCAAUAUGAGCUCAUGCUGCUUCCUAACAAUACAGAGGACUGACAUGAAAGCACACCCCAUCAAUGACUUACAGACAUCUCAGAUUUGUCACCAGUCAAGCACAGAAAAAUCUGAAAGUUACAAAUUUAAUGUAAAAAGAAAGUUUGGAGCAGAUUUUGUAAUAUUGGAGCGCUGUCACCACAUGUGUGUGCUUUUGGCUGCUUUUGGCAUCUGCUGUGUUUGCACGUGAGCGUCUGCAGACCUGUUUAUAAUCAAAUACACAGCUUCGGUUUGAGGCACCUGCUACAGACUGAAGCUUUGAACCUGAGGACACGAUUUCAGAAGAAGCAGUUUGUUUCAAAAGAUUAAAACUUCACCUUUACUGUAAUCAAAUGAUAAGGUUUUUAUUCAUUCUGCUGGUUUAAAAGCUCUUAAUUUCACUUUUUAAGAGUCAUUAAGCCAACUCAACAGCAUUUAGAGCUACCAUGAUAUCUUCAAUAAUGAUAAGCGCCUAUAAUUAAUCAAUACUUUUUUAUUAUGCUCAAGUAGAAACAGGAAAGUUGGGAUGUUAUGAAAUUAUGGUGAAAACAGAAUCUGGUGGUUUCAAACUCCUUUAAACAUUAUGCUUCACCAAAAACAGUGCAAAAAUAAAGUAUCAAAUAUUUCUUUCUUUUUUUUUUUUUUUUUUAGUUUUAUGAUUUUUUUUGGUUUUUAUUAAAGAAUAUAGUAUCUUAAAUACAGUUGAAACCAGAAGUUUACAUACACUAUAUAAAAAGGCGCAUAACCUUUUUUUUUCUCACCAUCUAACAUUAAAUCAGAUUAAACUUUUCCUGUUUUUGGUCAAUUAGGAUUACCAAAAUUAUUUUUAUUUGCUAAAUGCCAGAAUAAUGAGAGAGAGAAUUUUUAGACAAUUUUUUAUUAUUUUCUCGACAGUCAAAAGUUGAAGCCAGCUACAUAUUUUAAAAAAAGUUAUUACAAGGACAAUAAAACACUGAAAAAGUGGUGUAAUGCAAAAAAUAAUGUCCAGAAGAACAUCUUUCAACUAAGAAGGUUAAUUUGCAACAGGCUACUAACACGACUGGGUGUAAAGAGGAGAUUCAAACAAGUCUGAGUCUCUCAGGGACAAAAUCUGAGGAGAUUUAACACUUUUGAGAGACUGCGUGAGCAAACUGUUCAACAAUUUAUGAAUCUUGUCCCUCGGUGAAAAUAAAGGCAAAGAAUUUGUAUAUUUUAUCAUUUUUAGGACAUAAUGUAAUCAAAGCUGCAGAGAAUCCUAAGAAAUCUCUGUACAAAAAGGACAUGGCCCAAAACCAAGACAGUUUAGCCGUGAUCUUCAUGCUCAUAGCAUGCUGCAUAAAAACAGGCCUGACUCUGGGGUUAAAAUCACUGCAUAGGCUCAACAGUUUGUUGCUGCAGCCGUACAGAUUAAAACUGCCAUCAUACAGUGAGGAAACGAUAUAUAAACAUGAUCCAGAUACACUGGAAAACUCUCCUUUGAUUUGAGGAAUCAGGCUUUGACAUUUGUUUUAGAGACCAUGAUUUAAACUUUCCAGUUAUAUAGGCCAAACAACAAUUUUCUGACAUCCUAUUUUUUCAGAUGGCAGCAACAGGCCUCCAUAUAUAAGACAAACGCAAAAGCUUCAGAAAUUAGCCACAUGUCAUCCUAUUCGGCCCUCCCAUCCCCCACUGCAUUAAACACCAACUGUCACAGGCACAUACACAUACACACCAUCCUCAUCCUCUUUAUGUUAACCUUCCUCCACCCCCUCCUAUGCCACGCAGCCAUGCCAUAAUCCCCCCAACAAACACAGGCAAACACACACUUGUCACCUUUUCUCCAUCUCCCCCGUUAGCACCCCUUUCACACCUCUGUGGGGGAAAAUGUCAGAUGUUUGUAUUGGAAGGUUAUCUGUCCUGUAAAUAUGGAGGAAAAGGCACAGACAUGUCAGCAUUUAAACCCCGCUUUAAGAAAAGUCCUCUUACAGUAAUCUGUCUGAGCUUGAUCUGGUUUUAUCUGAACUUUUUACAGGACAAGAGCUGAUGAACACAUUUUGUACCAAUGUGGUUUAAGAGUUUUGUCCCUGAGCAGAUUUGUUUUCUUUUUGCUUCUCACAUUUCUCUUAAAUUUCUCCAUCUUGUGUUUCAGCUGUGUUCACUUUGUAGAGAUCUUUCUCCAAACUAUGCCACUAUCCACUGCCAGGCGGAGUAAUUAAGUAGUCAGAGGGAGUUUUCAUUUGUUAUCAACAGACUAAAUUACUGACAUUCCUCUUCCCCAUUUAUCUGCCCAUCUCUCCUUAUUAGAAUCCAUUAUACGCUGGAGGUUGGGGUCAUCCUGUCUAAGCCAAGGCUGUAUUUCUAGGAAUAAAUGCCAGGGACUCCCUUAUUACGCCUCAAAUAAUAAAUCAUCUCGACUUAAAAUGACACAGAGAAACUAGUCCAUGCAUUUGUAACUUCUAGGCAGGAUUAUUUCAAUUCCCCAUGUUCAAGCUUCUCUAAUAAGUCUCCAAAGAUGCUCUAGCUGGUCCAGCACAACAAGAAAAAGAGGUCAUAUUCUCCCAUGUUAGUUUCUUUGCACUGGUUCCCCAUUAAAACUAGAACAGAAUUUAAAAUCCUUCCUCUGACCUAAAAAGCUCUUCAUGGUCAGGCCACAUAUCUUAUGCUGAUGUCAGAUCAAACAGCACAGAGCUAUAAAAGUGACUUUUAAAGCUUACAGGAGCUUUAAAGGUGCUGGAUAAAUACAUUUUCAAUCAUAAAUAACCUGUUGAUAGAUCGUGAUGCGCUGCGGUCAGCCGGGCCAACAUGUUCAAACUAAGAUGUUUACUGUCACCCUGUGUUCAAGUCUGAUAACUGAUUUUUUAUGCAUGUUAAGUUUAAGGCAGGUCCUUCCCUGACUGUGUGAACGCUCGUCUGAAAGCACUACGAAUGCAUUUGUUCAACACUCUGGGCUGGGCUGUAGAGGAUGUUAUGUAGUUCUUUCCAACUACUGCAUGAAAUGUAAGCACAUAUUCACUGUGACUAUACCAAAUACCUGGGCUUUAGUCAAAAUACAAGGCUGGGAACUCGUUUUUUUUUAGUAAUAACAAGAUAUGGCCUUUUUAUUUGCAGGUCAAUCAAAAAGCACUGUAAUUAUCUUUAUUUGUCUUAUAUCCAAGGAUUAUACAACCUACUAAAUAGACAACAACUUUGCAACAUUACAACAGCAUUUGGACUCCCCUGUAGAGUUGAGACAUGAGAAGAAAAUGACAUUAGUGUAAUUGUGGCGAAUUAGAUUUGUACUCAGCAAAGGGUCGACUGGGGCAUCACAGUUUCUUUUAAUGUCAAUAUUUCAGAUGAGGGUCUGACCCAGAGUUUGUUGAGUUUGCUAAGAAUGAAAUUAUCUGCAGUUUUCCACUUUAAACAAAGAGUGAGAGUAACUGCACAGAUUAGUACAACUACGCAAGCACUGAUUGUUGUAAUUUACACUGUUUUCUACAUUUAAAGAUGCCUCUAUGCCAAAGUUUUUCUUCCUUGGUCAUGAAGACAAAGCAGAGAUGUAUUUGGUCCAGAUGUCUUCCUGCCUCUCUUCCUCAUUCAUCUAAUUUCCUGUGGCGGUGGAAUGAUCCUCUUUAUAGCCUGCAAUGUUUGUCUGAUUUACCAGGAUGAAGAGCCCACGUUCAUGACCAGGUACUUCAAAAGAUUUGAAGAGGCUCAGUCAAUCAGAGGUGAAGGGUGUGAGUUUUCCAGCGAUAUGAUACCCAAAUUUAUGCUCUAAAUAAGUUAAUUGGCAUGUUAGUCCAAUAAAACAAAUGACUUUAAGAACAAUCAAUCUGAAGAUCUCAUGUCCUGGUCCAACUGUUUUUAUUUAUUUCUUUAUUUUUAUCAUGGCUGAUAUCCGCUUUUAUAAAUGCCUUAAAAGGCACCAGAAUAAAGGUUAAAAAGUUAAUUAAAGUGACCAAAAUAGCCAUAUCAUUGCCUAUCAGACAGCUACAGGUACCCACACAGCACUUUCAGUAGUCAUGCUUCCCAACCCAUGCAGAACUUCAAGCCUUAAAGGUGGGGUAGGCAGGAUCUGAGGAAGUGCCAGUUUUGGGGAGAAAUCUUGAACGUACACACUACCCCUCCCAACCAGUUUUCCCCUCAGCUCCUCCUCUCCCCUCUCUCUCUGCUCCAGCAAGCCCCGCCCACAAACAGACGCUCGUCCUCGCUUGUAUCAUUUCAAUUAAAUUCAGAUAAUUACAAAUGUGAAAGUAAAAAGAAUUGGUGCUACUGUACACAACACACUACCAGCAAACAAUGUUUGCAGGACUUCUACAACUAGGAUAAAGUGACAUAGUCCAGGACCCGAGGUAAACGGUUUAUCAACCGCUUGCUUCUUUAGGUAUACCAACUUUAGUAAUGACCCCAGAUAGCACUACAGAAACACUACGUUACAGACACUUAACUUACUUUGUUAAAGCGGUUUACCUGUUCAGCAGAAAGGUUACGGGGUCUGUAAGAUCCUGAAGCGUUCCACAUCGUUUAAUCUUUGAUGUUGACACAUUUUUUUAGGUCUUGUCCAGUCUACCUCAGUUUUAAGCGCCCUUUAAUCCGCCAGAGUCUCCAGUGUUUUAUUGCUUGUGUUUUCUGUAACUUUCUGGUUGGUUUCUACUGUCCAAUAUCGUAGCACACUAACUCUGUUUGGGUUCAUGAACGAUACAGAGGAGCAGUGUCUGCCUCACAACCAAUCAGGUUGGGGGAGGCAGAGAACGGCUUUGUUUACAGUCAGAAAGAGCGGGCCGCUCAAAAUAUUUAACAUGUUGACUACACGGAUAUAACAAAACACAGCGAUAUC